GUGGGAGCAAAGCUUGCUCGCGAUGCAAGCGCCUCGGUUUCCUGGAAAACCGCGUCGUCUUCAUCGCGAGCAAGCUUUGCUCCCAC
rnacentral:misc_RNA from 1 species